AACUGAUAUAAAAUUAGGGUACGUUUGUUUGCUAGAAAAACAUUUUCUGAAAAAUGUUUUCCUGAUUUUACGGUGUUUGGAAGCUUGAAAACAUUUUACACUUACGAAAAUAUUUUCCAUGACACGGGUAAAAUGACCUCAGUUUAGGAAAAAUAUCUUAUUCCGUCCUUCUCCUUCUUCAAUCUGUCUUCCCCUCACGAAUUUGCAGGAUCUAAACGUCCCAAAGUUGGCCCAUCAUCGAUAUUAUAUUAUGUAUGAUAGCUGGUCCCCAGCCAUGACUAUAAGUUCUAUCUGCAUCAGCAUUCUCUCCAUGUUAUCAAGCUCAACUGCCAAGCAAAAGGCCGGCUGAUAACGAUCGAUAUGUUAAGAAUUGUCGAAAUGGCAGGUCUCCCAAGGAGACGAGAUGGUGGUUCCAUGACGAUAAAGAAUAUUAAUAAUAACCUAUCAUCUAUAAUCUAUGUAUAAAAACUGAGGUUACAGGGAUAGGUAAUCGUUUACAUUUGUCAUGCUGUGUAUGAAAUUAUGAAUUAAACGUAGAUUUAUUUUGGGCAGACUGAGCAAUAUAAACCUUUCUUUUCUUCUAA